rnacentral:piRNA from 1 species
UGAACAUGGUGAAGCAUGUGUCCUUGCUAUC